GGGUUUACUCCUGGAUGUUUCCAUUAAACUUAAUGGCUAAAACCAUUAAGCGUUUCGGUGUCUGAUUCAUUGGAAUCGGGAGCACCAUCUGCGUAGGCCUAAAAGAUUAAGGUUAUCCACCUACGGUCUUGGAUAGCCCCCGCCAGGCAGGGACCCCAAUCUUGUUGC
rnacentral:sRNA from 1 species